CGGAGGAUGCGAGCGUUAUCCGGAUUUAUUGGGUUUAAAGGGUGCGUAGGCGGCUUUUUAAGUCAGCGGUGAAAUUUUGCAGCUUAACUGUAACAGUGCCGUUGAUACUUGGGAGCUAGGAUUUGGUUGCUGUGGGUGGAAUGUGUGGUGUAGCGGUGAAAUGCUUAUAGAUCACACAGAAUAUCGAUUGCGAAGGCAGCUCACAAAGCCAAGAUUGACGCUGAGGCACGAAAGUGUGGGGAUCAAACAGGAUUA
rnacentral:rRNA from 1 species